rnacentral:rRNA from 1 species
UACAGAGGUCCCGAGCGUUGUUCGGAUUCAUUGGGCGUAAAGGGUGCGUAGGCGGCGGGGCAAGUCUGAUGUGAGAUCCCGGGGCUCAACCCCGGAACUGCAUUGGAUACUGCCUUGCUCGAGUACUGGAGAGGGAACUGGAAUUUACGGUGUAGCAGUGAAAUGCGUAGAGAUCGUAAGGAAGGCCAGUGGCGAAGGCGAGUUCCUGGACAGUUACUGACGCUGAGGCACGAAGGCCAGGGGAGCAAACGGG